rnacentral:rRNA from 1 species
GACUCCUACGGGAGGCAGCAGUGGGGAAUAUUGGGCAAUGGAGGAAACUCUGACCCAGCGACGCCGCGUGAGGGAUGAAGGCCUUCGGGUUGUAAACCUCUUUCAGUAGGGAAGAAGCGAAAGUGACGGUACCUACAGAAGAAGCACCGGCUAACUAUGUG